rnacentral:rRNA from 1 species
AGAGUUUGAUCCUGGCUCAGGAUGAACGCUGGCGGCGUGCUUAACACAUGCAAGUCGAACGAAACACCUUAUUUGAUUUUCUUCGGAACUGAAGAUUUGGUGAUUGAGUGGCGGACGGGUGAGUAACGCGUGGGUAACCUGCCCUGUACAGGGGGAUAACAGUCAGAAAUGACUGCUAAUACCGCAUAAGACCACAGCACCGCAUGGUGCAGGGGUAAAAACUCCGGUGGUACAGGAUGGACCCGCGUCUGAUUAGCUGGUUGGUGAGGUAACGGCUCACCAAGGCGACGAUCAGUAGCCGGCUUGAGAGAGUGAACGGCCACAUUGGGACUGAGACACGGCCCAAACUCCUACGGGAGGCAGCAGUGGGGAAUAUUGCACAAUGGGGGAAACCCUGAUGCAGCGACGCCGCGUGAGUGAAGAAGUAUCUCGGUAUGUAAAGCUCUAUCAGCAGGGAAGAAAAUGACGGUACCUGACUAAGAAGCCCCGGCUAACUACGUGCCAGCAGCCGCGGUAAUACGUAGGGGGCAAGCGUUAUCCGGAUUUACUGGGUGUAAAGGGAGCGUAGACGGUAAGGCAAGUCUGAAGUGAAAGCCCGGGGCUCAACCCCGGGACUGCUUUGGAAACUGUUUAACUAGAGUGCAGGAGAGGUAAGCGGAAUUCCUAGUGUAGCGGUGAAAUGCGUAGAUAUUAGGAGGAACACCAGUGGCGAAGGCGGCUUACUGGACGGUAACUGACGUUGAGGCUCGAAAGCGUGGGGAGCAAACAGGAUUAGAUACCCUGGUAGUCCACGCCGUAAACG